AACUUUUGACAAUGGAUCACUUGGCUCUCCCAUCGAUGAAGAACGCAGCGAAAUGAGAUAAGUAAUGUGAAUUGCAGAAUUCAGUGAAUCAUCGAAUCUUUGAACGCACCUUGCGCCCUUUGGUAUUCCGAAGGGCAUGCCUGUUUGAGUGUCAUUAAAUUCUCAACCUUGAAAGGCUUGUCUUUUCAAUGGCUUGGGUGUGAGGGUUUUGCUGGCUUCCUGUGGUGGAUGGUCUGCUCCCUUUAAAAGCAUUAGUGGGAUCCUUUGUGGACGGUCACUUGGUGUGAUAAUUAUCUACGCCGUUUGUACUGUGAAGCAACACUUGUGGGAACCUGCUUAUAACCGUUUGUAAUGUUCAAUUCUGAACCUUUGACCGCAAACCAGGUAGGACUACGCACAGAAAUUAAGCAAAUCAAUAAGCGGAGGCU
rnacentral:misc_RNA from 1 species